UACGGAGGGUGCAAGCGUUAUCCGGAUUCACUGGGUUUAAAGGGUGCGUAGGUGGGUUGGUAAGUCAGUGGUGAAAUCUCCGAGCUUAACUUGGAAACUGCCAUUGAUACUAUCAGUCUUGAAUAUUGUGGAGGUCAGCGGAAUAUGUCAUGUAGCGGUGAAAUGCUUAGAUAUGACAUAGAACACCAAUUGCGAAGGCAGCUGGCUACGCAUAUAUUGACACUGAGGCACGAAAGCUAGGGGA
rnacentral:rRNA from 1 species